rnacentral:rRNA from 1 species
CCUACGGGGGGCAGCAGUGGGGGAUAUUGCACAAUGGAGGCAACUCUGAUGCAGCGCUGCCGCGUGAGGGAAGACGGUCUUCGGAUUGUAAACCUCUGUCUUUGGGGAAGAAAAUGACGGUACCCAUAGCGGAAGCUACGGCAAACUCCGGGCCACAAGCCACGGUCAUACGUAGUGAGCGCAGGUGGUCGGGAAUUACUGGUAGAAAAGAGGGAGCAGGCGGCAGCAAAGGUCGGUGGGGAAAGCCCGAAGCUAACCUUCAUUAAGCCAUAGAGACCGGGCGGCUAGAGUGCAGGAGAGGGUCGUAGAAUUCCAGGUGUAGCGGUGAAAUGCGUAGAUAUAUGGAGGAAUACCAGUGGCGAAGGCGACGACCUGGAC